rnacentral:rRNA from 1 species
CUAGACAUAAACAUAGGUUGUCUCACUACCCACAACCCGCCAGAGGACUACAAGUGAAAAACUUGAAACUCUAAGGACUUGACGGUGUCCUACCCAUACUAGAGGAGCCUGUCCUAUAAUCGAUACCCCACGUUCUACCUCACCCCCUCUUGCCACCCAGCCUAUAUACCGCCGUCGCCAGCUUACACUGUAAACGCACCACCGUAAGCAAAAUCACCGCACAUAAAAACGACAGGUCAAGGUGUAGCUCAUGAGGGGGCAGCGAUGGGCUACAUUUUCCUCAUUAGAAAACACCAACCGCACUAUGAAAUCUUUGCGCCCAAGGUGGAUUUAGAAGUAAACCUCGGCAAACAUGCCAACUUGAACAAGCCCUAGGACGC